GACGAACGCUGGCGGCGUGCCUAAUACAUGCAAGUAGGACGCACAGUUUAUACCGUAGCUUGCUACACCAUAGACUGUGAGUUGCGAACGGGUGAGUAACGCGUAGGUAACCUGCCUAUUAGAGGGGGAUAACUAUUGGAAACGAUAGCUAAUACCGCAUAACAGUAUGUAACACAUGUUAGAUGCUUGAAAGAUGCAAUUGCAUCGCUAGUAGAUGGACCUGCGUUGUAUUAGCUAGUAGGUAGGGUAAUGGCCUACCUAGGCGACGAUACAUAGCCGACCUGAGAGGGUGAUCGGCCACACUGGGACUGAGACACGGCCCAGACUCCUACGGGAGGCAGCAGUAGGGAAUCUUCGGCAAUGGGGGGAACCCUGACCGAGCAACGCCGCGUGAGUGAAGAAGGUUUUCGGAUCGUAAAGC
rnacentral:rRNA from 1 species